GAUGAACGCUGGCGGCGUGCCUAAUACACGCAAGUCGAGCGAACGGACGAGAAGCUUGCUUCUCUGAUGUUAGCGGCGGACGGGUGAGUAACACGUGGAUAACCUACCUAUAAGACUGGGAUAACUUCGGGAAACCGUAGCUAAUACCGGAUAAUAUUUUGAACCGCAUGGUUCAAAAGUGAAAGACGGUCUUGCUGUCACUUAUAGAUGGAUCCGCGCUGCAUUAGCUAGUUGGUAAGGUAACGGCUUACCAAGGCAACGAUGCAUAGCCGACCUGAGAGGGUGAUCGGCCACACUGGAACUGAGACACGGUCCAGACUCCUACGGGAGGCAGCAGUAGGGAAUCUUCCGCAAUGGGCGAAAGCCUGACGGAGCAACGCCGCGUGAGUGAUGAAGGCCUUCGGAUCGUAAAACUCUGUUAUUAGGGAAGAACAUAUGUGUAAGUAACUGUGCACAUCUUGACGGUACCUAAUCAGAAAGCCACGGCUAACUACGUG
rnacentral:rRNA from 1 species